CAGAGAUGUAAACUCAGGCGAGUUGAGUAUUAACUUACUAUGCACUUUUUUCCACAACAUAUUACCAUGCAUCUUGUCAUUUUUUCUGCGUUUAUUGCAGUUAUUCUUGGAAGGUUUUAACAUCCAAACAUUUUCCAUGCUGAUAUCCGUGCAAGCAGAGUUGAAGCAGACCUGUCAGAAAACAUCUCUAAGGUGCUAUGAAUCUCAUAACUAGAUACACAUCAUAAGAUAACUAGAGCUUACGGCUCUGUUUAGAUCCAGCCUCACUUGUGAAGACUUCAGAUGACGUAAACACUCACAAAGACAAUAUAUGAUGGCAUCUAUAGAUGGACACACACAACUGCCAAAUGUAAUAUAUUGUAAUUACUGCACCAAACCGUAACCCUACAGAUU